rnacentral:rRNA from 1 species
AAAACCCUGGUUUUGUACGAUCACCAAAGUUAAGCAACGUCGAGCCUGGACAGUACCCAGAUGGGUGACCACUUGGGAAUACCAGGUGCUGUAA